GGCCGGUUGGCGAAAUGGUAUCGCGUCAGAUUUCGGCUCAAACUGAAAUCGUGAAUCAUGUUCACUCUCUGAAGAUUGUGGGUUCGAAUCCCAUAUCGGUCG